UCACAAUACUUGGCGAAUUAUCACAACUUCAAUAAAACGUAACCGGCGGCGAAUGGUAAACAUGAAGAGGGGAUGUUUCAAUGCAUGUCGUUUUGAAUGUUUGAAAAAUUUCCCUUACGAAAUGAGGUCGAUAUUUUUCAACGAAUAUUGGAACUUAAAGAAUAAUGAGCAUCGCAGAGAAUAUCUAAAGGGAUCAGUGGAGGUGUUACCAAAAAAACGGAAGAAGGUACAUCAUGAAUCCAGGCGGUUAUGCACUUACAGGUAUUCCCUUCCUAAGCCUGAUGGAGAAAGAGUCCAGGUCACCUCAAUAAUUGGCGAAUUAUCAGUCCUAUAAAAAAACGUCGGCAACGAAUGGUAAACAUGAAGCCGGGGUGUUCCAGUUCCUGUCGUUUUGAAUGUUCAAAAAAUUUCCCUUACGAAAUGAGGUUAAUAUUUUUCAACGAAUAUUGGAACUUGAAGAAAAACGAACAUCGUAGGGAAUAUAUAAAAAGAUCAGUGGAGAUGUUACCAGUAAAACGGAGGAGAGUACAACAUGAAUCCAGGCGGCUAUGCAGUUACAGGUAUUCUCUUCCUAAGCCUGACGGAGAAAGAGUUCAGGUGUGUAAGAUAACGUUACUGGACACUUUUGGUAUUUCGCAGCAUCAGCUGGCCACUAGUUUAGAAUGAAUGUGCUUCAACCUACUUGUAAAAGCAAUAGAGGUAGAAAAAUAGUAGUAAAAGAUUGAGUAAUACUAUGUAGCAGUGUGUGAAAGAAAUUAAAAAAUAAUAAAGGAAUGUCCUAAAUUCUAAA